ACGUUAUGCAUGAACGUAAUGCUCNAUAACUUCCCYCUAGACUUAGCUUCUGUCGAAACUUUAUUAACAAACGGUUAAUACUUUYGUAUGUUUUGGUGUAUACCAUUUUUUUUUUAAGUGAAGGAGCAAUAACCAAUUCUAUCAAGGGGGUUGGUAUUGCUCCUUUAUUACAUUACUUUUUUAUUCUUUAUUUAUUAUAUUGUUAUUAAUAUUUUUAUAAAUAUUAAAAUAUAAUAUUUAAAUUAAAUAAAGUAUUUUAUGGGUUAAUUCACGAUUCAGUAUCAUACUUUGCAUAUGUAAAGUUUUAAUUAAAGAUAAAAAUUUGGAUCUGAUAUGUGUAUUUCAGAAAUAAGAAAAAAUACGAAAAUAAUGAUGAAUAAAUUAUUAUUCUUUUUAAGAAAAUGAACGAUAAUUAAUUUAUCGUUAUUAACUAUAUUAAAUAUAUUAAUUAAAUAGU
rnacentral:misc_RNA from 1 species